rnacentral:lncRNA from 1 species
UUUUCUCAUACGUAAGAUUCAACAUUGAAGGAGGCAAGUGAUUUAUUUUAAGCAAGGAAAGGAUGAAGGGAUUGGUGAAGGCUGGAACCUGUUUAGUGGACUAACUUGGGAAUUUCUGGUGACAUGAUGUUGCACUCAUUUUAUUUUUCACUAACCCCUCACUCAAUAUGUAAGUAUGUGUGCAGAAGCUGAUUUCUUGGAGAAAACGAUUAAAGAAGCAGCAUAGAUCUUUCAAAGGAUAAGCAAUGUAGAAAGAGUGGAACGAGAACGGUAGAAACUCAACUGGGAGAAGCAAAAUGACAAAACCAAGUUCGAGAUGCUUGCUGAAAUUUUUAAAAAAGAUGAACUAGAGUUCAAGGAAGAUGAACUGGCCACACUAAAUAUCAAAGAACCACUUCCUGAGGUAAGAGAAGUCAUUACACAUAUUAAAAAUGCUAAAACUAACAUGAAUGCAGGCCAACAUUUUGAGAAUGCUAGACCAUUGACAGAAUUCGAUUAAGUUGAUUGGAUUCCAAAUUAUUUGUCCAUUUAAUCAGCAACAUAUGACAUGAGAAACACCAAAGCAAAGCUAGAAUAAUUGAUGCUAUAUUUGAUCAAGAGAUGAGAGGAGAAUCGAUAUAGAAAAUGUUUGAAGAAGAAGAAGGAGAAGGAAAAGAAGAUGAAGGAUGGAUUGAUUGAGAUGAUAUUUUAGAAAUAGAUAAUGAAGCCCGGGAAUAACAGAACCAUGAUGAGCCUUAAAGGUCCCUCUCUAUAACAUCAUGCACACCAGUUGAAGAAGAAGAAUUAGAGUCACUAGAAGAACUCGAUUGGUUGUUGCCUGAUGAAGAUAGAAAGACAAGGAGGAGAAGAGCUAAUGAGAUGGGAAUCACUUACAACUUGAAGAAAACUGUAGAAAUAUUUCAAGAUCUCUUCUCUAAUAAUUCUAGUGAUAUGGCUGAAGUUUCAGAUUAAAUUUCAGAAAAUAACAGCACACAAUGUGAAGAACAAGUGGGAGAAAGAUAACAUAGAGAAGAGGCAGAAACAGGCCAGGCCGAUUGGCCUGGCGUGUUCAUGCCGAUUGGCUAGGGUGCAUUUUGCACACCUGGAAGCCACCUAUGCACAGGUUUAUAGCUUAUGUGCUAUCGAAGCUGGAACACUAGAGACUCAAGUCAUGUUUAUGCUCAAAGAUGAAGAAAGGAGUGAGUCUACA